GAUGAACGCUGGCGGCGUGCUUAACACAUGCAAGUCGAACGAAGCACUUUAUUUGAUUUCCUUCGGGACUGAUUAUUUUGUGACUGAGUGGCGGACGGGUGAGUAACGCGUGGGUAACCUGCCUUGUACAGGGGGAUAACAGUUGGAAACGGCUGCUAAUACCGCAUAAGCGCACGGCAUCGCAUGAUGCAGUGUGAAAAACUCCGGUGGUAUAAGAUGGACCCGCGUUGGAUUAGCUAGUUGGUGAGGUAACGGCCCACCAAGGCGACGAUCCAUAGCCGACCUGAGAGGGUGACCGGCCACAUUGGGACUGAGACACGGCCCAAACUCCUACGCGAGGCAGCAGUGGGGAAUAUUGCACAAUGGGCGAAAGCCUGAUGCAGCGACGCCGCGUGAGCGAAGAAGUAUUUCGGUAUGUAAAGCUCUAUCAGCAGGGAAGAUAAUGACGGUACCUGACUAAGAAGCACCGGCUAAAUACGUG
rnacentral:rRNA from 1 species